GAUGAACGCUGGCGGCGUGCCUAAUACGUGCAAGUAGAACGCUGAAGCUUGGUGCUUGCACCGAGCGGAUGAGUUGCGAACGGGUGAGUAACGCGUAGGUAACCUGCCUCUUAGCGGGGGAUAACUAUUGGAAACGAUAGCUAAUACCGCAUAAAAGUCGAUAUCGCAUGAUAUUGAUUUGAAAGGUGCAAAUGCAUCACUAAGAGAUGGACCUGCGUUGUAUUAGCUAGUUGGUGAGGUAACGGCUCACCAAGGCGACGAUACAUAGCCGACCUGAGGGGGUGAUCGGCCACACUGGGACUGAGACACGGCCCAGACUCCUACGGGAGGCAGCAGUAGGGAAUCUUCGGCAAUGGGGGCAACCCUGACCGAGCAACGCCGCGUGAGUGAAGAAGGUUUUCGGAUCGUAAAGCUCUGUUGUAAGAGAAGAACGAGUGUGAGAGUGGAAAGUUCACACUGUGACGGUAACUUACCAGAAAGAGACGGCUAACUACGUG
rnacentral:rRNA from 1 species